rnacentral:tRNA from 1 species
CGGAAUAUAGCUCAGUUUGGUAGAGCGCUUGGUUCGGGAUCAAGAGGUCGCAGGUUCAAAUCCUGUUAUUCCGA